UACGUAGGUGGCAAGCGUUGUCCGGAUUUACUGGGUGUAAAGGGCGUGUAGCCGGGUUGACAAGUCAGAUGUGAAAUCCUGCGGCUUAACCGCAGAACCGCAUUUGAAACUGUUGAUCUUGAGUACUGGAGAGGCAGACGGAAUUCCUAGUGUAGCGGUGAAAUGCGUAGAUAUUAGGAGGAACACCAGUGGCGAAGGCGGCUUACUGGACAGUAACUGACGUUGAGGCUCGAAAGCGUGGGGAGCAAACAGG
rnacentral:rRNA from 1 species